UUUCAUGAGUUUCUGGAUUGA
ensembl:piRNA 21ur-10896 ncRNA